rnacentral:rRNA from 1 species
AAUACCGCAUAAGCGCACAGAGCCGCAUGGCUCAGUGUGAAAAACUCCGGUGGUGUAAGAUGGAUCCGCGUCUGAUUAGCUGGUUGGCGGGGUAGAAGCCCACCAAGGCGACGAUCAGUAGCCGGCCUGAGAGGGUGAACGGCCACAUUGGGACUGAGACACGGCCCAAACUCCUACGGGAGGCAGCAGUGGGGAAUAUUGCACAAUGGGGGAAACCCUGAUGCAGCAACGCCGCGUGAGUGAAGAAGUCAUUCGUGAUGUAAAGCUCUAUCAGCAGGGAAGAAAAUGACGGUACCUGAGUAAGAAGCCCCGGCUAACUACGUGCCAGCAGCCGCGGUAAUACGUAGGGGGCAAGCGUUAUCCGGAUUUACUGGGUGUAAAGGGAGCGUAGACGGCCAGACAAGUCUGAAGUGAAAAUCCAGCGCUUAACGUUGGAAGUGCUUUGGAAACUGCCGGGCUAGAGUGCAGGAGGGGCAGGCGGAAUUCCUAGUGUAGCGGUGAAAUGCGUAGAUAUUAGGAGGAACACCAGUGGCGAAGGCGGCCUGCUGGACUGCAACUGACGUUGAGGCUCGAAGGCGUGGGGAGCAAACAGGAUUAGAUACCCUGGUAGUCCACGCGGUAAACGAUGAUUAGGAGGUGUCGGGGGGCUAGAGCCCUUCGGUGCCGUCGC